UACGAAGGGGGCUAGCGUUGUUCGGAUUUACUGGGCGUAAAGCGCACGUAGGCGGAUCGUUAAGUCGGGGGUGAAAUCCUGGAGCUCAACUCCAGAACUGCCUUCGAUACUGGAGAGCUUGAGUUCGGGAGAGGUGAGUGGAACUGCGAGUGUAGAGGUGAAAUUCGUAGAUAUUCGCAAGAACACCAGUGGCGAAGGCGGCUCACUGGCCCGAUACUGACGCUGAGGUGCGAAAGCGUGGGGAGCAAACAGG
rnacentral:rRNA from 1 species